GAUGAACGCUAGCUACAGGCUUAACACAUGCAAGUCGCGGGGCAGCAUGGGGGUUGCUUGCAAUCCCCGAUGGCGACCGGCGCACGGGUGAGUAACGCGUAUCCAACCUGCCCUUCACCACGGGAUAACCCGGCGAAAGUCGGACUAAUACCGUAUGUUUUCCAUUGACGGCAUCCGAUUUGGACGAAAGGUUUGGCGGUGAAGGAUGGGGAUGCGUCCGAUUAGCUGGACGGCGGGGUGACGGCCCACCGUGGCGACGAUCGGUAGGGGUUCUGAGAGGAAGGUCCCCCACACUGGAACUGAGACACGGUCCAGACUCCUACGGGAGGCAGCAGUGAGGAAUAUUGAUCAAUGGGCGUAAGCCUGAACCAGCCAAGUAGCGUGCAGGAUGACGGCCCUAUGGGUUGUAAACUGCUUUUAUGCGGGGAUAAAGUGGCCCACGUGUGGGUUUUUGCAGGUACCGCAUGAAUAAGGACCGGCUAAUUCCGUG
rnacentral:rRNA from 1 species